UCUAGAUCUAAAUCUCAAUGGCAGCAGCCAUGGAAAUUCAAUUGGAAUGGUCGUAACUUAUAAAGUCUUAAGCCUAUCACAAGUACAGAUCAUCAUCAGAUGACGAAUCUCUAAAGUUGAAGAUAUCUACUUGGUAGUCUCGCUAAACCUCAAAGGAGCUUAGGGAAGUGAUGGCAGUUGCAGGGUAUGAACCAGACGACCAUGCAGAGACCAACGAGGCGACCAAACAGUCCAUCGUGCAUACCAUAUAACCAGGUCCAGAAUGCCAGUUUUCUUUAAGGGCAGCUGACAAUAAGAAUUGUCUAUGUAUGCACUACAGAUGCUGUUCAAUAUCUUUUCAUGAGGAAGCCUGCUCAAAAAGAUCGCCACAUUUUCUUUAGGGGAAGUUGACAUUAAUCUUUUAGGUUAAUAAUAACCUAUGCAUGCAGUACAGAUGCUGUUCAUCAUCUUUUCAUAAGCAAGCCUGCUCAAGAAGCUGCUGCAUGGAAGUCAAAAUAUGAAUUAUUGCCACCAGUCUUGAAGUCAGCUUGUAAAGAAUGCUAAGAAUUGAAUGAAAAUGCUGUCUUGAUAUCUUGUUUGUGCUGUUAUAUUUGUCUUUUGUGUUGGUUAAUUAUUCCAUAAAUAAAAAAUAAAAAAA